UGAGUUUGCAGAACAUGCAACCCUAGUUGCCAGAGCUGCUGUAGAACUUUCAAGGCAAUAUUGUGUUGAUGAUGGUGGUUCUUGCCACUUUGGUUUCAAGGAUGAUAGGUUGGAACAUGGGCCAUCAUUUCCUGGAGAUGGUAAUGGUAAUUGUUUUGUUCGCAGGCAGAAUUGGAACAUGAAAUUUAAGGAUGCUACCUCUACUGCUUAAGCAGCUGCUGAGUUUGCAGAACAUGCAACCCUAGUUGCCAGAGCUGUUUUAGAACUUUCAAGGCAAUAUUGUGUUGAUGAUGGUGGUUAAUGCCACUUAGGAUUCAAGGAUGAAAUGUUGGAAUAUGGGAAUUCGUUUCUUGGAGAUGGUAAUUUUUCUAUUUGUAGGCAGAAUUGGAACAUGAAAUUUAAGGAUGCUACCUCUGCUGCUCAAGCAGCGACUGAGUUUGCAGAACAUGCAAGCCUAGCUGCCAUUGCUGUUGUAGAACUUUCAAGGAAAUAUUGUGUUGAUGGUGGUGGUUCAUGCAACUUAGGUUUCAAGGAUGAAAGGUUGGAACAUGGGCAAUCAUUUCCUUGAAAUGGUAAUGGUAAUUAUUCUGUUGGCAAGCAGAAUUGGAACAGGAUAUUUAAGGAUGUUAUCUCUGCUACUCAAGAAGUGACUGAGUUUGCAGAACAUGCAAGCCUAGCUGCCAGAGCUGUUGUAGAACUUUCAAGGCAAUAUUGUGUUGAUGAUAGUGGUUCAUGCCACUUAGGUU
rnacentral:lncRNA from 1 species